CUCACAGCCUGUCUCCUGGCCCUUGGAGACAGCUUGGUGUGAAUGAUGUUCAGGGCCUAACACUGCAAGGAUGCUCCAACAACUGUGGCGUGUUUGUUUUGAUGUACGCUCUGUACAUUGUAAUGGGGGCCAGUUGCGAUUUCAGUGAGGAAAACAUGCUGCAAAUUCGAAGAUGGUGGUGUCUUGUUCUCCUGCAGAACUUCCCCAUGCCAUCUGAAGAAUAGAGAUUGCAGCAAAGAAAAAGGCAACGAGAGCUGAAAAAACUACAGGAUGUGGCUGAAGUCCCCCUGAAAAAGUUGAGGCUUUCGGAAUCUGCCACUGACGCAUCAG